rnacentral:rRNA from 1 species
UCGAACGAUGAACCGGUUUCGGCCGGGGAUUAGUGGCGAACGGGUGAGUAACACGUGGGCAAUCUGCCCUGCACUCUGGGACAAGCCCUGGAAACGGGGUCUAAUACCGGAUAUGACACGCUCCCGCAUGGGAUGCGUGUGGAAAGCUCCGGCGGUGCAGGAUGAGCCCGCGGCCUAUCAGCUUGUUGGUGGGGUGAUGGCCUACCAAGGCGACGACGGGUAGCCGGCCUGAGAGGGCGACCGGCCACACUGGGACUGAGACACGGCCCAGACUCCUACGGGAGGCAGCAGUGGGGAAUAUUGCACAAUGGGCGAAAGCCUGAUGCAGCGACGCCGCGUGAGGGAUGACGGCCUUCGGGUUGUAAACCUCUUUCAGCAGGGAAGAAGCGAGAGUGACGGUACCUGCAGAAGAAGCGCCGGCUAACUACGUGCCAGCAGCCGCGGGUAAUUC